AUGGGGGUUGUAUUCAAGGAAUUGGAGAAGUUGUUCAUAAUUCGGAUUCUUCACAUGUCCCCGUUCAAAAGGUCGGAAUUUGUAUUUGAAGUUGGAGGUCUGAUGCAGAAUUCUAUUGAAAAUCUGCAUACGGGUUCGAUGGACUUCAAGCGGCACAAGAGCAUGGGAAGCGGAAUCAGAGCAUCAUUUCAAGUUCUUUUCAAGGUAGCUCAGCCCAGGAAGAAGGUAAUUGUGAAAUUUCUCAAGACUUGGAAGACAUAA